rnacentral:rRNA from 1 species
GACGAACGCUGGCGGCGUGCUUAACACAUGCAAGUCGAACGGAAAGGCCCUGCUUUUGUGGGGCGCUCGAGUGGCGAACGGGUGAGUAACACGUGAGUAACCUGCGCUUGAGUUUGGGAUAACGUCAGGAAACUGGGGAUAAUACCGGAUAGGAGCUCCUGAGGCAGGGUGGGGGUUGGAAAGUUUCGGCGGUUGGGGAUAGACUCGCGGCUUAUCAGCUUGUUGGUGGGGGAGGGGCUUACCAAGGCUUUGACGGGUAGCCGGCCUGAGAGGGUGACCGGCCCCAUUGGGACUGCGAUACGCCCCAGACUCCUACGGGAGGCAGCAGUGGGGAGUAUUGCACAAUGGGCGGAAGCCUGAUGCAGCGACGCCGCGUGCGGGAUGACGUCCUUCGGGUUGUAAACCGCUUUCGCCUGUGACGAAGCGUGAGUGACGGUAAUGGGUAAAGAAGCACCGGCUAACUACGUG